rnacentral:lncRNA from 1 species
GCUGGGCGUGGUGGUGGCUGCCUGUAAUCCCAGCUACUCGGGAGACUGAGGCAGGAGAAUCGCUUGAACCUGGGAGGCGGAGGUUGCAGUGAGCGGAGAUCGCGACACUGCACUACAGCCUGGGUGAUAGAGAGAGACUCCAUCUCAAAAAAAAAAAGAGUUUUGAGAACUGUGCCGUCUGACAAAGUGUGCACCGAACAUAAGAGGUUAUUUGUUUAAACUUAAGUUUAACGGCCAGGCACGGUGGCUCAUGCCUGUAAUCCCAGCAGAGAGAGAGAUGAAGAGAGACAGAGAAACAGAGAGAGAGAAACAGAGAGAGAGAGAGAGAGCCAGAGACAGAGACAGAGAGAUACAUGGGAAGGAGAGGGAGAGAAUGGAGAGAGACAGAGAGAGGGAGGGGAGGCUCCUCCAGGUAGAGCAGAAGGAAAGAAACUUCGGGGCGGGACUGGAAGGUGCACCAGGUCAGAAGGAGGGGUUGGGGGUCCCCAUGCCCCUGGGAGGAUAAUGGGGCCAGCCGGGAAGGUGGCCAGCUAGGGAACGAGCAGUCUGUGCCAGUGACCACGAGCUCAGAUGCAGACGCCCCUCCCUGGCAGGGACGCCCACUCCCAGGCCAAGGCUUGUCCCCUGGGCCUUGCAGGCUGCUCAAGCCACUUCUGCAAACCCUCAGCUGGACUCCAUGCCUCUGAGAAGCCCCCAGAACUGGCAGGACAGGCCUGUGGCUAUAGCCCGUGUGAGCCUAAGCUCACAAACAAGCCGGAAUCCCACCGCAGGCCAGGGAGCCUCCGAAACUUCCCGGCUGCUCCCCAAGGAGCCGUGCUGCCCCAGCUCCCUGGACGCUGCCUUUGCUGGUAGAAGACAUGGAAACACCCUUGCAGGUGCCCCCCCCCGCCUGUUUUUGCUUCCUCAGGGUCACCCCUGGCUGCAAGUGCCUCAAGGACAGCCUGGAAGAGCCUGUGGGGGAGGGAGGGUGGCAUUCAGCACAGGAUACACACAGGAGCCCCAGGCUGUCCUCUGCCCACCGUCCCCACCCCAGCUCUAGCUCUGCCAG